GACGAACGCUGGCGGCGUGCUUAACACAUGCCAGUCGAACGGAAAGGCCCUGCUUUUGUGGGGUGCUCGAGUGGCGAACGGGUGAGUAACACGUGAGUAACCUGCCCUUGACUUUGGGAUAACUUCAGGAAACUGGGGAUAAUACCGGAUAGGAGCUCCUGCUGCAUGGUGGGGGUUGGAAAGUUUCGGCGGUUGGGGAUGGACUCGCGGCUUAUCAGCUUGUUGGUGGGGUAGUGGCUUACCAAGGCAUUGACGGGUAGCCGGCCUGGGAGGGUGGCCGGGGACAUUGGGCCUGAGGGAGGGCGCAGUCUGCAACUGGGGGCAGUGGUGGGGAGUAUGGCACAGUGGGGGGGAGCCUGAUGCGACGACGCCGGGUUCGGGAAGCAGGCCUUCGGGUUGUGAACCGCAUUCGCCUGUGACGAAGGGUGGGUGACGGUAAUGGGUAAAGAAGCACCGGCUAACUACGUG
rnacentral:rRNA from 1 species